AACGAACGCUGGCGGCAGGCCUAACACAUGCAAGUCGAGCGAGCAUUUCGGUGCUAGCGGCGGACGGGUGAGUAACGCGUGGGAACGUGCCCUUUUCUGCGGAAUAGUCCUGGGAAACUGGGGGUAAUACCGCAUACGCCCUUUUGGGGAAAGAUUUAUCGGAGCAGGAUCGGCCCGCGUUGGAUUAGGUAGUUGGUGGGGUAAUGGCCCACCAAGCCGACGAUCCAUAGCUGGUUUGAGAGGAUGAUCAGCCACACUGGGACUGAGACACGGCCCAGACUCCUACGGGAGGCAGCAGUGGGGAAUCUUAGACAAGGGGGGCAACCCUGAUCUAGCCAUGCCGCGUGAGUGAUGAAGGCCUUAGGGUUGUAAAGCUCUUUCAGCUGGGAAGAUAAUGACGGUACCAGCAGAAGAAGCCCCGGCUAACUCCGUG
rnacentral:rRNA from 1 species